AAAUGAGAUAGUAAAUGUAAAUAAUUUUAAGAGUAUAGAUUAUAGCAAAAUGUAGUGGAACAAAUAGGAAAUAAUGAGUUUCAAGUGUUUACUUUUGCUUUUAAUAACAUUUAAUGCUAGGUUUACGUAAUUUAAUUUUUCAAAAUGACUUGAUUCAUAAACAGCUCACAAAAUUCCUGAAAAUUUAACAAUUGGCUUUUGUGAGCAGGUAUAACCUGGCUCCAGGACACCUCUUGGUCACAUCUUCACUGCUUACCGUGAGAGAUUCUUCUAUUCUGAAUACCGCAAUGCACCGUCGAGUUUUAAGGAACCAGCAUCAAGAAGAGCUGACAAUCAUCAGCUGGCAGCUCUCUUCAGGGAUUGCUC
rnacentral:lncRNA from 1 species